rnacentral:rRNA from 1 species
CUGUCCUACGGGAGGCAGCAGUAGGGAAUUUUCGUCAAUGGGCGCAAGCCUGAACGAGCAAUGCCGCGUGAACGAGGAAGGUCUUCGGAUCGUAAAGUUCUGUUGAAGGGGAAAAAGAGCGGAGAGAGGAAAUGGUCUCCGAUUGAUAUUACCCUUCGAGGAAGUCACGGCUAACUACGUGCCAGCAGCCGCGGUAAUACGUAGGUGGCGAGCGUUAUCCGGAAUGAUUGGGCGUAAAGGGUGCGUAGGCGGUCGAUUAAGUCUGGAGUGAAAGGUACCGGCUCAACCGGUAUAGGCUCCGGAAA